GCUCCGGUGGCCUAAUGGUUAGAGCGCCCGUCUCGAAUGCGGGAGGUCGUGGGUUCGAUCCCCGGUCGAGUCA